GUGCCAGCAGCCGCGGUAAUACGGGGGGAGCAAGCGUUGUUCGGAAUCACUGGGCGUAAAGGGCGUGUAGGCGGCCAAGUAAGUCGGGGGUGAAAUCCACUGGCUCAACCAGUGACGUGCCUUCGAAACUGCCUGGCUUGAGUAUGGCAGAGGGAAGCGGAAUUCCAGGUGUAGCGGUGAAAUGCGUAGAUAUCUGGAAGAACACCGGUGGCGAAGGCGGCUUCCUGGGCCAAUACUGACGCUGAGGCGCGAAAGCCAGGGGAGCGAACGGGAUUAGAUACCCCCGUAGUCC
rnacentral:rRNA from 1 species